UUCUGAUAGAUUUUUGCUUAUAUUAUUUUAUUUUAGGUUUUCGUUUGCUUGGUAGAGAUGUGUUACUGAUAGAUCCUUGUUUUCUUCAAAUAUUAGUGUCUAAUUCUUUUGUAGAUACGUGGUUGGUUGGUGUUAAAGAAUCUGGAUGCAGUUAGAGUGUUUUGAUUUAGGCAUUUGCUGGUGUUGUUUCCAUUUGUGCUGGUCAGACACAAUAU
rnacentral:lncRNA from 1 species